rnacentral:rRNA from 1 species
AUUGAACGCUGGCGGCAGGCCUAACACAUGCAAGUCGAGCGGUAGAGAGGUGCUUGCAUCUCUUGAGAGCGGCGGACGGGUGAGUAAUGCCUAGGAAUCUGCCUAGUGGUGGGGGAUAACGUUCGGAAACGGACGCUAAUACCGCAUACGUCCUACGGGAGAAAGCGGGGGAUCUUCGGACCUCGCGCCAUUAGAUGAGCCUAGGUCGGAUUAGCUAGUUGGUGAGGUAAUGGCUCACCAAGGCGACGAUCCGUAACUGGUCUGAGAGGAUGAUCAGUCACACUGGAACUGAGACACGG